UUUUACGGCCAUACCACCCUGAACGCGCCCGAUCUCGUCUGAUCUCGGAAGCUAAGCAGGGUCGGGCCUGGUUAGUACUUGGAUGGGAGCAUGGGAUUUUUUCCACUUGUUCGUGUCAU
rnacentral:rRNA from 1 species